rnacentral:rRNA from 1 species
AUUGAACGCUGGCGGCAUGCUUUACACAUGCAAGUCGAACGGCAGCACAGGGAGCUUGCUCCCGGGUGGCGAGUGGCGCACGGGUGAGUAAUACAUCGGAACGUGUCCUGUUGUGGGGGAUAACUGCUCGAAAGGGUGGCUAAUACCGCAUGAGACCUGAGGGUGAAAGCGGGGGAUCGCAAGACCUCGCGCAAUUGGAGCGGCCGAUGCCCGAUUAGCUAGUUGGUGAGGUAAAGGCUCACCAAGGCGACGAUCGGUAGCUGGUCUGAGAGGACGACCAGCCACACUGGGACUGAGACACGGCCCAGACUCCUACGGGAGGCAGCAGUGGGGAAUUUUGGACAAUGGGGGCAACCCUGAUCCAGCCAUGCCGCGUGCAGGAUGAAGGCCUUCGGUUGUAAACUGCUUUGUCAGGGACGAAAGGAUCGUGAUAAUACCAUGGUCUGCUGACGGUACCUGAAGAAUAAGCACCGGCUAAC